rnacentral:lncRNA from 1 species
CCAGCUGGAAGAGUAUUCGCAACCAUAUACAAUGAAGAGUCACACUUUCAAGAAGAAAGCCGAUGUCCCACUUCAGCAUCAAAUCUAAGACACUGCAUUUCACUUUUUCUGUACAAAUAUCAUAAUCUGUUUGUUAAUCUCUUGGUUUUGUUUCAAAAAUGAAACUAUAUUUAGAGAGGAAACAAAUUCUACCAGUUGCUGUUGGAAGCAAAAGAUCUUUUUCAUUCUUGGAUGCUUCAUAUUUGGACAGAGAAAGGAAUCAGAAUCCAUCCUUCUUUUUCCUAACUGGAAUUUGAGAGACAUGA